rnacentral:tRNA from 1 species
GAUAAGAUGGCUGAAAUUUUAGGUUAUAAAUUGUAAAUUUAUAUAUGGUAAUUAAUACCUCUUAUCA